UUGAUAAACCGCCAGAACAUUAGAAUACAAAAAAAAAAAAAAAAUGGAAUCUCUCUUAAAAGUUUCCUCUUCCCAAAUAGAGGUAAGAAUACCCUUAGGUUUAGUUUUUCAGAAAAACCAUUUCUGUCGUCUCGAUUUCAUCAGAAAACCAGUUAGCGAAUUGAUAUCUCAUAAAAACCAGUUAUCAGAAAAACCAGAUCUUGAUCUUGGGUUCCAUCGAAUUUGCGCUUCGAUUUUCAGGCUGAUGGGCGGUAGCGAUGAUGGGGGAGAGGUGUGAUGAAGGAAGGAGACUAGGAGAGAGAAAGAAUUCUAACGGGAAAUUGCUUGGCCGUUUGUCACUUGAAUUUUCCGACCAUUGAUUGUGCCCAAUUAGGUCCUGAGUUCCUGACUCGUUGCUGCAAUCGGGUGAUUUUGAUGGAUAAUUUCUUCAUGGGACAAUGAAAGUACAGCUGAUGGGCCAUAUAAUGGUUAUAAUUACAAAGAUGAAGAGGAGGACAUACUUGUUUAUGAACCUCAUAGGGUCUGGAUAUACUUCUUUUCUCCUUUGUGUUACUUGAGAUCAGUUUGGCAUAUUUGUUUCGUGUUGUGAUCAGCAAAGUCUUUUGAAUCACUCGUCGUCUCGAUCUUGAUCUUGGAAUUCAUUGAAUUCCCGCUUCCAAUUUCAGGAUCAAGAUGAUGAAUUCGAUCCGAUAGCAAAUGAAGAUUAAGUUGACAUUGAGAAUCAUGCACACGUAAAGGGAGACCAGUUGAUGAUGAAAGAUAGAAGACAUUUAGUUUUAAAUUAUACAUUUUAGUUUUAGAUAUGAUCAUUUGGUUUUAUUUUGAACAUAAUAAUGCAAUUCUUAUAGAUCGCACAUCAAAUAUAUUAGAGAGUUGUUUAUUAGUUUAACCUUCAAAAUGACAUUUUCACAUUCGUGCAUGCAAUAACUAUUUCAGAUUCAUAUUAUUA